rnacentral:tRNA from 1 species
GGGCCCGUAGCUUAGCCUGGUGGAGCACACGACUGAUAAUCGUGCGGUCCUGAGUUCGAAUCUCAGCGGGCCCA